GACGAACCGUGCGAACGUUGUUCGGAUUCACUGGGCUUAAAGGGCGCGUAGGCGGGCGGUCAAGUCAGGGGUGAAAUCUUUCGGCUCAACCGGAAAAGUGCCUUUGAUACUGGCCGUCUCGAGGGAGGUAGGGGCAUGCGGAACUUCCGGUGGAGCGGUGAAAUGCGUAGAUAUCGGAAGGAACGCCGGUGGCGAAAGACGGCG
rnacentral:rRNA from 1 species